rnacentral:rRNA from 1 species
CUCCGCCUUUCUAAAUAUUCGCUUCCUCUAGUUGUGCCCGCAAUUGUCCUUGCCCUUGAAAACCUCUNGUAGGGUGGCGCCCUCCUUCGACUUUGCUCUUACCCUAUGAUGUCCGUCUCCCCUCCAAUCUUCUGAUCUAUCCGUGCCGACUCCCCGCCUCCUCCGCCCCUCAACGGCCAUUCCUCGAUCCCGCAUUAAAAAUUGUGUUUUCGAGCGCAACCAUUAAGUACUCCACCUGGAAACUCCGACACAAAGGUUCAAACUCAAGGAAAUUGACGGUGGUCCGCACAAGCGGUGGAGCAAUGGGUUUAAUUCGAGGAUACGNGAGGAACCUUACUCCGGGUAGAAUGCUGGGGGACCGAUCCUGAAAGGGGUCUUUGUAGCAAUACACCGCCAGUAAGGUGNUGCAUGGCUGUAGUCAGCUCGUGCCGUGAGGUGUUGGUUAAGUCCCGCAACGAGCGCAACCCCUAUUUUCAGUUGCCAACGGGUCAAGCCGGGAACUCUGAAGAAACUGCCGUCGUAAGACGCGAGGAAGGAGGGGAUGAUGUCAAGUCAUCAUGGCCUUUAUGCCCAGGGCUACACACGUGCUACAAUGGGGAGGACAAAGGGAAGCUACCUGGUGACAGGAUGCAAAUCUCAAAAACCUCUUCUCAGUUCAGAUUGUAGUCUGCAACUCGACUACAUGAAGCUGGAAUCGCUAGUAAUCGCGCAUCAGCAAUGGCGCGGUGAAUACGUUCCCGGACCUUGUACACACCGCCCGUCAAGCCAUGGAAGCCGGGUGUACCUAAAGUCGGUAACCGCAAGGAGCCGCCUAGGGUAAAACUGGUAACUGGGGCUAAGUCGUAACAAGGUAA